rnacentral:misc_RNA from 1 species
AAAUAUCCCACAGGCUAGGAGAGCCCAGCAGAAUGCCCAAUAAGAAAUGUACUUGGAAUAAAGCACUCUGUCUGUGCGUUAAGUUUGGUUCUAAAGCGGUACAACCGCUUUGGUUAAAGCCCUACUGCCCCCAUAUAAAGAAGUGGAGUUCAUACUUCAGAGUCCAGUACCAUUCUACUCGUCUAAAACUUACAAAUAAGAUUUUGCAACGUGGCAAGUGCGUGAUGCUGAUGACACCAAGCAGAACAAUUUCGAGUUACUGACGUAUGUUAUCACUGAUGUGAAUGGAUAGUCCCGUAAUUUUAGAUCCAGUCAAUUGAAAGUGAUCAGAAUAUCAUUUGAAGAUCAAAACACUUGUUCUUCAAAAUGAAUAUCGAACGUAUUGGAUUAUUUUUCUUAAUAAUUACUAUUUUGGGUUUUUUAAUUACAUCCCGGAAUCAUCUGACGGUUAACCCCGAAUGCAAUUUGGAUAACGUGAGAAGUUCCCGCCAAAAUAUUAUUCCAUUAGGCCAAGAUGACGAAGAUGUUUUGGUUUUCGUGCAUAUUUCUGAUCUGCACAUCAGUCACUUUACAGCAGAAGAUAGAUACGAGCAACUUAAUGAGUUUUGCAGCAUAAAUUUAAAAGCUAUCAGUCCUCACCUGGUUCUUGCAAGUGGGGAUUUAACUGAUUCUGUUGCUCCUGGCAAAGUUACGCAGUUUAUUGAAGAAUGGAAGAUGUAUGAAGAUGUGUACACUAAAUGUCAAAAUGAAUCUGGGGUCCCUCAUUGGUUGGAUGUUAGAGGAAAUCAUGAUAACUUCAACAUUCAUAGAUACAACAGUUCCAACAGCUAUUACCCACAGUUUGGAUCACAAAGGAAAAAUCCUGGAUCUUACAUGACUAUUAUCAAGACCAAUGAAAGGACAAAAUAUGCUUUCAUCGCCGUAGAUGCUACUCUUGAAAUAGGCCCAAAACGAUUACUAAAUUUUGUCGGGCAAUUGGACGAUAAUCGCUUGUCAAAGUUAAAAGAAUUGGAUAAAAACGCCACUCAAUUAAAUGUUAAUGGAACUAUUUGGUUUGGUCAUUAUCCAUCUUCGAGUAUCUUCAAUUCCGGACUGCGUCCUGGUUUGCGCGAUGUCGCCUCCAAGGGAAUCGCCUAUUUAUGCGGACAUUUCCACACUCUUUUCGGCAUUGUACCUAAAAUGUAUUCGCGCCACCAUUCGGGAAUGUUGGAACUAGAACUUGCUGACUGGAAGGACCGUCGAAUGUAUCGAGUUGCAGUACUCGACAAAGGAUUAUUUUCUUUCGAUGAUGUUGAACAUAAUAGUUGGCCGGUUAUAGUUGUGACUAAUCCAAAACCGCUGUUGACGGUUCAUCCUUGUCAGCAGCCCAAUGAAUUAAUGGCUAAUUCGACCCACAUUCGAAUUUUCAUAUUUUCUCCUUCGCCAAUCGAAUUUUGCGAGGUGAGAUUGGAUCAUGGAACUUGGGAUCCAUGUAAACUAACAGGCCAAAAAUAUCCCCUAUAUACCGCGCCUUGGCAAGCGGAACUCUACGCUAAAGGCCCUCACACACUUGGAGUGAGAGCCAAAGAUUCUACCGGAUCCGAGAAAAUUACGGAAAUCGAAUUUGCUUUGGACAACACAAUGCCACAUUACCCGUGGAGAGCACGAAUAGCUCUGAUGUGGGAUUUUACUACUAUGAGUAAAGUGGUAUUCUGGGUUUCAAUCUUUUUUUGUACAGUACCAUUUUUGUUCGUGAACUUUCUACAGAGGCGAAUCACGUAUCGACUGCUGUCGCCGCUGCGAGUUAAAUAUCGUUGUGUUAACCUACUGAUCAGAAAAUUCUGGGUUUUUUCUGGCAUCAAAAAGUUAUUCUACCCGGUUUUGGCCUACAGCAUAUACCUAUGCGUUGGACCUUGGCUUGCAGGCUAUUUAAUCGACGACCGCAUUGGUGUUGUUUUCGCUUGGGGAACUUUUUUCCAAGAUGGAAUAUUUCUAAAAGGAACUACAACGUAUUUAUACGGCGGUAUUCACAUUAUCCUAUUCAAUGGGCCACUUAUUUGCAUUCUUGCUCACACUGCAGAUGUGAGGUUCCGGGAGACAAGAACUGGAAAUAGAGCCUACAGCCGCACUUUUUUCACGAAAUUUAUGCUCCAUGUUCCUAUUUUGUUGUUUGUUAUUUUUCACUGUACCACUUGCUUGAUAUUUAUGCACUCUUAUGGAUGGUAUACCCUACUGCUCAACCCUGCGCGAUUCUGGAGUUUGUUUCUCUCUCUCUACCUUUGGUGGAAAGCGAAAACAUUAAACUCGUUGGAUUUCACAAAUGUCGCGAGAACCUGGAACUAGAAUAUGUCGUUUUCCCAAUAAAAUUAACCAUUCUUACCAAAAACCUCUCCAUUUAAGUCCACCUUUUUCCGCCCGUCUUCACUUUUUCCACUUCUUUAUAGAUUGCACCUUUAACAGUCGCUGUCAUGUUGAUCCCAUCUUUUGCCUACAUCAAUCAUUGUGAUGAUGAAGUGAAGUUGUGCUACACUUCCUUCAAAAUUUGCUUUUGGUGGAAAGUAGUAAAACAUUCCUUUGCCGUUCCCUCACUCGACAGAAAAGCUGUAGGUCGGUUAAAAUUUUGCAAACAUUUUGUCAAACUUACCACAACAGCAUUACUAAUUUUUGCGAUGAUUGUUAAUAUGUGUAAUACAAUUUAAAUUUCGUA